rnacentral:rRNA from 1 species
GGGUUGUGAGGUUAAGCGACUAAGCGUACACGGUGGAUGCCCUGGCAGUCAGAGGCGAUGAAGGACGUGCUAAUCUGCGAAAAGCGUCGGUAAGGUGAUAUGAACCGUUAUAACCGGCGAUGUCCGAAUGGGGAAACCCAGUGCAAUUCGUUGCACUAUCGUUAACUGAAUACAUAGGUUAACGAGGCGAACCGGGGGAACUGAAACAUCUAAGUACCCCGAGGAAAAGAAAUCAACCGAGAUUCCCCCAGUAGCGGCGAGCGAACGGGGAGCAGCCCAGAGUCUGAAUCAGCUUGUGUGUUAGUGGAACGGUCUGGAAAGUCCGACGGUACAGGGUGAUAGUCCCGUACACCAAAAUGCACAGGUUGUGAACUCGAAGAGUAGGGCGGGACACGUGGUAUCCUGUCUGAAUAUGGGGGGACCAUCCUCCAAGGCUAAAUACUCCUGACUGACCGAUAGUGAACCAGUACCGUGAGGGAAAGGCGAAAAGAACCCCGGCGAGGGGAGUGAAAAAGAACCUGAAACCGUGUACGUACAAGCAGUGGGAGCACCUUCGGGUGUGACUGCGUACCUUUUGUAUAAUGGGUCAGCGACUUAUAUUCUGUAGCAAGGUUAACCGUAUAGGGGAGCCGCAGGGAAACCGAGUCUUAACUGGGCGUUAAGUUGCAGGGUAUAGACCCGAAACCCGGUGAUCUAGCCAUGGGCAGGUUGAAGGUUGGGUAACACUAACUGGAGGACCGAACCGACUAAUGUUGAAAAAUUAGCGGAUGACUUGUGGCUGGGGGUGAAAGGCCAAUCAAACCGGGAGAUAGCUGGUUCUCCCCGAAAGCUAUUUAGGUAGCGCCUCGUGAAUUCAUCUUCGGGGGUAGAGCACUGUUUCGGCUAGGGGGUCAUCCCGACUUACCAACCCGAUGCAAACUACGAAUACCGAAGAAUGUUAUCACGGGAGACACACGGCGGGUGCUAACGUCCGUCGUGAAGAGGGAAACAACCCAGACCGCCAGCUAAGGUCCCAAAGUCAUGGUUAAGUGGGAAACGAUGUGGGAAGGCACAGACAGCCAGGAUGUUGGCUUAGAAGCAGCCAUCAUUUAAAGAAAGCGUAAUAGCUCACUGGUCGAGUCGGCCUGCGCGGAAGAUGUAACGGGGCUAAACCAUGCACCGAAGCUGCGGCAGCGACACUAUGUGUUGUUGGGUAGGGGAGCGUUCUGUAAGCCUGCGAAGGUGACCUGUGAGGGUUGCUGGAGGUAU